AUUGAACGCUGGCGGCAUGCCUUACACAUGCAAGUCGAACGGCAGCGGGGGAGAAGCUUGCUUUUCCUGCCGGCGAGUGGCGAACGGGUGAGUAAUACAUCGGAACGUGCCCUGUAGUGGGGGAUAACUAGUCGAAAGAUUAGCUAAUACCGCAUACGACCUGAGGGUGAAAGUGGGGGACCGCAAGGCCCCAUGCUAUAGGAGCGGCCGAUGUCUGAUUAGCUAGUUGGUGGGGUAAAGGCCUACCAAGGCGACGAUCAGUAGCUGGUCUGAGAGAACGAUCAGCGACAGUGGGACUGAGACACGGCCCAGACGCCUAAGGGAGGCAGCAGGGGGGAAUUUUGGACAAUGGGCGAAAGCCUGAUCCAGCAAUGCCGCGUGUGUGAAGAAGGCCUUCGGGUUGUAAAGCACUUUUGUCCGGAAAGAAAUGGCUCUGGUUAAUACCUGGGGUCGAUGACGGUACCGGAAGAAUAAGGACCGGCUAACAACGUGCCAGCAGCCGCCGUAA
rnacentral:rRNA from 1 species